rnacentral:rRNA from 1 species
AUGGAUAUCCUCGUCUCUGCAAUCGUAGGUGACCUCAUCAGCAGGUCUGCGUCGUUCAUGAUCAGCAAAUACUUCCAGCAGCAGCCUGACCUCGACAAGAUUCAACAGAGGCUACAGAGAGUCCUACUGAGAAUCGACAUCAUCGCCGAGGAGGCCGAAGCGCGGGACAUCAACAACCAGGGGAUGCUCCGUCAGCUCAAGAUGUUGAGGCAAGGAAUGUAUAGAGGCCGCUACGUUCUUGAUUCCUUGAGAUUCCAAGCUGCCCUCGACGAGGAGCAGGUAAGCCACUCAUUAUCUGCGCUGCCUAAAUCCAGUGCAGCCAAACGGCUCCGUUUCUCUCGGACCGGCAGUGGCAGCAGCAACAGAGAAGCGCUGUUGUUUGGCACAAACAGCAACAUGAGGGAAGAGCUGCAACGGAUGGUUGAUACCCUUGAAGAGACCGUGUCUUGCAUGAAGGAGUUUAUUUUCUUCUUGGAGUCAUAUCCCCGGAUACACCGCCAACCUUAUGGCACAUAUUUGGUAUUGGACAAUUGCAUGUUUGGUCGCCAAACGGAACGGGAGCGGGUCCUGAAUUUCUUGCUUUGUCCCAGUGUUACACCAGACUUGGCUGUACUUCCGAUCAUUGGCCCAAGAAGAGUAGGGAAGAGCACCCUUGUUGAGUAUGUCUGUAGGGAUGAGAGUGUGCGUGGUCAUUUCUCGAUGAUCAUCUUCUUUCCAGAAGGCAGUCUCAAGGAUGAAGGAGUGGUUGACCUAAAAGGAAACUAUAUUAAUGGUCUAGUCAGACAUCAAAAUUCUGCUUCUCAAACCAGGUUGCUGAUUAUUGUUGAAAUAGCUGAGGAUAUUAAUGAAGGAACAUGGACAAGGUUGAAAUCUUUGGCAACCAGCAUGACACCGUGCGGUGGGACCAAAAUCAUAAUCACCAGUCGAUCAGAUAGAAUUGUGAAUCUGGGAACAACGGAAGCACUUCGACUGGACUUUCUCUGUCAAGAAGCUUGUUGGUAUUUUUUCAAAUCAAUUGCAUUUGGAAGCAUAAACCCUGGCGAGCAUCCAAAUUUGGCAAGUAUGGCUAUGGAGAUCGCUUUGGAACAGAGACAGUGUUUCACAAGCGGCCCUAUCGUUGCUGGGUUACUGCAACGUAACUUCAAUGCUCGAUUCUGGCGCACAGUUGCUGAAUGUGUAAGAGCAAGUAAACAGACACAUCGCCUUAUGUUUUUUUUUAGGAAAGGACAUCGCCUUAGUUUGACCAGCACCCAAACCUUCGUUUGCGGGAAGAUGCACCGGUGUAUUGUUGGAGAUUGGUGA